AGGUAAUAUAGUCUAUAUAAAGUAAACGAAAUUCGUCAGCCUGCAUUGAAACUUGUCGAAAGAUACAUAAAGAGGAAUACUAAACAAAUUGUGAUUUCAACUGUUAAUCAUGAAGCUAUUAGUUUAUAUGGUCUACAUCGCAAUGUUUCUUGUUAUGAUCAGUGCAAGCAGUGAUGUACUUAGACAAGAUUCUGAUCUCAAUGAAAGUGAAAUUUAAUUUUGAUAAUGAAUAUUCUGCACUAAAUAGACUGGGACUAGAUGCAGUUUCUUUCUUAAAUAUAUAAUACUGAUUAUUUUCAGUUUAUUUCUGUAUCAAUAAUGCUGAAUGUCUACACAUAUUCAAUAGCAGAAACCUUGUUCAGGACAGACAGGAUGUCAUCUUUUUCUUUUUCGUGAAUUGUUUAUUUCUGUAUUUAUAGAUAAUAAAGUGUGUACAGAGAA